rnacentral:rRNA from 1 species
CCUACGGGUGGCAGCAGUGAGGAAUAUUGGUCAAUGGACGCGAGCCUGAACCAGCCAAGUAGCGUGAAGGAUGACUGCCCUACGGGUUGUAAACUUCUUUUAUACAGGAAUAAAGUGAGGUACGUGUGCCUUUUUGUAUGUACUUUAUGAAUAAGGAUCGGCUCACUCCGUGCCAGCAGCCGCGGUAAUACGGAGGAUCCGAGCGUUAUCCGGAUUUAUUGGGUUUAAAGGGAGCGUAGAUGGGUUGUUAAGUCAGUUGUGAAAGUUUGCGACUCAACCGUCAAAUUGCAAUUGAUACUGGCAGUCUUGAGUACAGUUGAGGUAGGCGGAAUUCGUGGUGUAGCGGUGAAAUGCUUAGAUAUCACGCAGAACUCCGAUUGCGAAGGCAGCUUACUAAACUGCCACUGACAUUGAGGCUCGAAAGUGUGGGUAGCAAACAGGAUUAGAUACCCCAGUAGUC